rnacentral:lncRNA from 1 species
UCGACUUCAUAAUCACAUUCAUAAUCGAUUUGGCAAUGAGCUGAAUCCUUUCUGUAACUUAAACAUUAGCUUCAAUCGAUUCGUCAAUCGAUUGUGCUGAUCACAGUGACUCAGACUUUUACGUCAAUCGAUUUUCCAAUCGAUUGUGCUGAUCAAAGUGACUCAGAUAUUUACGUCAAUCGAUUUGCCAAUCGAUUGUGCUUGUUACAGAACCUCGACUAUUUUGUCAAAAUCAAUGUGCCAAUCGAUUUAUUCAAAGUGGUUCUGAUAAAUGAUUAACUGCAAUCGAUUGCCUAAUCGAUUGCCACAAACUUGUAGUUUAAGAAAUCUAAUUCAAUUGAUGUCCCAAUCGAUUUGUUGGAUCACAGAACUUAUUCCUGAUUUAAAAACUUUGUCACAAUCGAUUUGUCAAUCGAUUGAUUCAAUAAAUGGUUGGUUCUGUGAUUUGCAAAGUCGAUUACUCAAUUGAUGUCCCAAUCGAUUGUCCAAUUGAUUGGAUUAAGCCCAGAACUCAGGUUUCACUAAAAACCUUUAACUAAUCGAUUGUCCAAUCGAUUCAUGUAGUGAAAACUCUUGUUCUGAGUCAGAAAAUCGAUUGCCCAAUUGAUUCAUCAAUUGAGUUAUUAGUUGAUUGAUUUAUAUUCAUUGGCAAAGACUUAAGUAUGAGACCGUAGUGAUUAGUUUACUAAACUAACUACUAUGACACCUAAUUACACUACACCAAUUUGCAUCUUUCUCAAGCAUAUCCUCCAACUUUGGUUGAUUCCUUGAGUUGCAAGCUUUUGUUCCAAGUGUAUGGUGUCUGCUUGUUUGCCUGAAAUGUUUCUCAAUUCAAAUCAUUAGAUCAAUCAAAUAUUUCAUAUGUACUGUAUGUUUGAGAAUUAAAUCAAAAACAUGAUCAGGGAAGCUCAUGACUUACAAACUCGAUUUGUUAUAUCAUACCUCCCUACUUUAUCAUUCUAUACACAAUUUUACUUUAAACAUAGUAUAUGUAAUAAAAAAAAAUUAGAAGAGAUUUACUUCUAUCAAAUCAAAUAUCAUGCUAUAUAACUUAUGCCUCAAUCAAAAGAUAAAAUUUCAAUAAAAUAUUGCAAAUAUAAUUUAUGACUUAAUGAAUAUUAUUGCGAUAAAUUUGAAGUUUUAAAAGUCAUGUAUUAACAAAAUAUUGGCUCCUUAAUAUUCAUAAGACUUAAAACAGAAACAUUUUUUAAAAACUAUGGUAACUCAAAAUUUCCACUAAUUUGGUGGGUAGAGUCAAACUUGAUUCUAUGAGAUAAUAUCAUUCCUUAUUCUCCGCACGACUCUAUGAGGUGGCAUAUCCCAUUAACUCGUACUAAGAAUAUGAAAAUGAUAUUAAACUAUAGAAACUACCGACUGACUUCCUAGACUGGAUCACUUAUAGACUAAUAAUUUACAGUCCGCUUUUGAAUCGACAUGCUCUGAUACGAAAAAUGUAACGCCUAAAUUUUUAACAUGAAUGAAACAAAAAUAUACACAAUGCAAAAGAAACUAAAUUUUUUAAUACAUAAAUAUCUAAAUACUUACAAAUUUAAAACAACUUUCAAGUGAGACUUAAUUAAACUAUGACUCUAAUCUAGAAUCAAGACGUAAUCCGAUUCUGACUCAUUUCAUUGAAGAACUGAUGAGCAAAUUCGGAUACUCCUCAGACUUUCAAUGUUUACCUGUUACCUAGAAAACAUCACCCUCAACAUAGUGAGCAUAAAACUCAGUAGCAUAGAUUUAAUAAAAACAAUUAUUGAUGUUUCCCAGCCAUGCCGGUGUGCUAAGCAUGGAAAGUUCUCUCGGUAAACUAUACUUCAAAUUAAUAUAAUACUAUUUAUUGGUAAGCUAUAUUCAAAUACUUCUUCUACCUCUAGCCUCAAAUCUUUCAAACACUUUAAGCCACUAGACAUGAGUAAUCUAAUGACUUAAAACCAAUAUAUCAAGUCAUAAAGACUACAUUGGUUUCACCCAAUGUCCUCUACUUGAAUAACCUCUUUUGGUAAGAUUGGACAUAAUUAAGUCCGUAAAUGGUGUCCCACUUACCCUCGCUUACCCCUCGCUUCCGUCGUAUAUAGACGGAGAGUUCAUCUAGCUAGAAUGAACCCUAUAUAUAUAAUAACAAUAAUAAUAAUAAUAGUAAUAAUAAUAAUAAUAAUAAUAAUAAUAAUAAUAAUAAUAAUAAAAAUAAUAAUAAUAAUAAAAAAAAAUUAACAAUAAUAAUAAUAUAGUAUAUAUCUAAUCAUAACAUAAGAGUAAUAUCCAUUCACACCAUGAAACAUGCGCUUAACAUAUCAAACUUCUAGAAAAUAGUGUUAUAUUUAAGCUUUCAAAUGCAAUUGGUUCCAUGCACAAACAAGAUUCCUAGCUUAAAAUAUAGAUAUUUAAGAUGACUAAUGCAGAGAAACUCAUAAUACAGAAUAAUUUACUUCAUAAAAUCAUGAAAAUUUGUAAAUUUAAUAUAAACUUAUAAAAAUUUACAAUAACAAUGUAAUAAGAAUAAGCUUUCCAGUCCAAUUGGUUUCACUCAAAACCGAUUCCUAUUGCUUCUGUUAUAGUCAUCUUAACUUACCUACGUCAUAAUCAUUUUCUAUAGAAACACUAUAACUUUGGUAAUUUAAUUAAAAUAUCAAACAAUGUCCGAUUUAAAUAAAGGAUAAUAUUUUGGAAUGCCUAAGAUGUCUAGUUUAUAAAUAUAAUUUUUAUUAUGUGUAAUAGACAUUCAAUUAGUACAGUUUAACAAAAUAAGGUAUACUUAUACAAAAAUAGGACAACAUAUUAUUUUUCAACUUGUAACUCAAUUUUCUCUAUUAAUACUCAAUGAAAACAAGUGAAAUCAAUGCCUAUUUCGUAGGUAAUUAAGUCUAUUUUCUAAUGAGAUCAAAAUCAGCUCAAAACACUAUAUAUGGAGAAAGUUAUGAGCAAAAUACCAAAGAUACACCUAUACAGGUUCAAAGGCAACAUCAUACUAUUUUCACUUCAAACUUUAUAUUUUCAAAGUUCACAUGAUCAACUAAGUAAAAUACAUUCAAUGUUCAGCAUAAAACCAAGUAAUUACCAAUACUAAACAAUCAUCAUCUCAUCACAAAUCCAACCACAACACUCAACAACAAUAAUCAAACAACAACUCUUCUUAGUAAUUAAUACAAACACCUAACAUGCAAUAUUAAUAAUCAAUGAUACUAAAUCAAAUAUGAUUAUCCCAAUACCUAAAUAUACAAAUCAUGAACAGAUAUUAGGAACAUGCAACCAAUACCUCUAAACACACCUAAUAGAGAUUUUAAGAGGAUUUUCUAUGUCACCUUAAGAAGAGAUUUGAGACCCCAAAGUUUGAUUCUAAUUCCUUCUUCUACAAGUGAAACUUUAACUCCUCUUCACAUUUCCAUCUUCCUUCUCAACAUGCAAGAACUCUAAACUUCUUCUCCUAUAUUGAAACCCUAACUUUUCUUUUCUUCUUUCUCAUAAUUUUUCAUUUCACUAUACCUCUUGGUCCUCUUUUACUCUAAUAUAAGUGUGAGGGUGUUUCUAUGAUGAGACGGUGAAAUGAGGGAGCUUGAGAAGGACAAGCAAUGGAGUUAGUGUGUUCUCUCUUAUUUCUUUUUUUUCUCCUCUCUUCUUCUUUCCUCUUUUUCCUUCUUUCAUCUUUUCUCUAUUUUUUUCUUCUUCAUUUUCGCUGAUAUGUUACAGUUUUGCCAUCCCUCCCUCUUUCUUUCUUUCAUUCAUUAAUUUAUUUUUUUUAAAACAAUUGGAUUUUAAGUAAAGGGGAGUGUGAUGAGAAUUGUCAAUUACGCCCCUCCGAAUCCUUAUAAAUGACAAAUUUUGUUUUGG